UACAGAGGGUGCAAGCGUUGUUCGGAAUUAUUGGGCGUAAAGGGAGUGUAGGCGGUUCUGCAAGUCUUCUGUGAAAUCUACGGGCUCAGCCUGUAACGUGCAGAGGAAACUGCAAGACUUGAGUGUCGGAGAGGAUAGUGGAAUUCCCGGUGUAGAGGUGAAAUUCGUAGAGAUCGGGAGGAACACCAGUGGCGAAGGCGACUAUCUGGCUGACAACUGACGCUGAGACUCGAAAGCAUGGGGAGCAAACAGG
rnacentral:rRNA from 1 species